rnacentral:rRNA from 1 species
UACGUAGGUGGCGAGCGUUAUCCGGAAUGAUUGGGCGUAAAGGGUGCGUAGGCGGCCUGCUAAGUCUGGAGCGAAAGGUACCGGCUCAACCGGUACAGGCUCUGGAAACUGGCGGGCUAGAGAGCAGGAGAGGGCGGUGGAACUCCAUGUGUAGCGGUAAAAUGCGUAGAUAUAUGGAAGAACACCAGUGGCGAAGGCGGCCGCCUGGCCUGUUGACUGACGCUGAGGCACGAAAGCGUGGGGAGCAAAUAGG